AUUGAACGCUGGCGGCAUGCCUUACACAUGCAAGUCGAACGGUAACAGGUCUUCGGAUGCUGACGAGUGGCGAACGGGUGAGUAAUACAUCGGAACGUGCCUAGUAGUGGGGGAUAACUACUCGAAAGAGUGGCUAAUACCGCAUGAGAUCUACGGAUGAAAGCAGGGGAUCGCAAGACCUUGUGCUACUAGAGCGGCCGAUGGCAGAUUAGGUAGUUGGUGGGAUAAAAGCUUACCAAGCCGACGAUCUGUAGCUGGUCUGAGAGGACGAUCAGCCACACUGGGACUGAGACACGGCCCAGACUCCUACGGGAGGCAGCAGUGGGGAAUUUUGGACAAUGGGCGCAAGCCUGAUCCAGCAAUGCCGCGUGCAGGAUGAAGGCCUUCGGGUUGUAAACUGCUUUUGUACGGAACGAAAAGCCCUGGGUUAAUACCCUGGGGGUCCAUGACGGUACCGUAAGAAUAAGCACCGGCUAACUACGUGCCAGCAGCCGCAGUAACAC
rnacentral:rRNA from 1 species